rnacentral:lncRNA from 1 species
AUGCUUAAGUUCUUCUACAGACCAAGGAAAUCAUCUAAGUUGUGGAAUUGGCUUGUGAUGCAAAAUCUUCAGCAUUGGCAAAAAAAUAUAUCACCCGCUCAUCUCUUUCAUUUUAUAUGCAAGAAUCUUUCACUAAAUUGGUCCUUGAGAUAUUCAAGAUAUACAAUAAUUUUACUUCACUAUGACUUUUAAGAUAUGCAUCGAACAACACAUUGUUAAUUUCACAAAAAUAGAUCAGUAUAAAAAUCUAAAAAGUAAACAAGUAAUAAAAUCCAAAAGCACCAACAACAAAAGAAACAUUAACAAAUUAAAGUUGAAGAAAAUAAAUAAAGUCAACCUCUUAGUUAGAGAGUGAGCUUCUUCAUCACUGAAAUGUUUAGGAUGAUUGUGAGUGUUCAAUCCACCUAACUGGAGUAAACUUCAAAGUACUAUAGAAUUAUCAUCAAGAUAGAACAUAUUAGGCGAUGAUGGUCCAAACAAGUAGUAUGAGUCUGCAUAUCAUGGCUGUGAUGAGUUUUAUAUUCAUAGUUAUAUGUAGAAAUAUUUAUAGAAAUAAAAAUAAUACAUUGAUUUCUCUAAUUAGCUAAAAUGUUGAAUCAAACACAUUAUACUUAGAUAUUCUGCGAAUUCUAGACAUCUUUAUGAAGGACAUACAAUUUUCUGCAUAAUAGAGCUAGCAGAACCAAAUAACUAGAUUCAUUCCUUCCUUGGGUCACAACAAAAAAUGUGAAGAAAAUCUUUGCUCCUGACCUUGGCAAGGUUUUGAUGAAGACACUAAUAUCACCAAAAAGAAGAAAAUGAAGAAUACUCAUAAGACAAAGAAGAUUAAAGCUUCAAGAAAAUUAGAUUAAGACUCUAUAGGUACUUCUAUCCUAAAACUCUUAAAUAUACAAAGUAGUAAUGCUCAAACUAUUUUUAAAGAAAAAUGAAACACGUAAAAAAAUACUUAAAACAUUUAUUCAAAAAUAGUGUGUAACGGGUUACUUCAUCUAAGUAACAAGUUACGUGUGUAAGAAAAAGAAUUAUCCAACUUAAAACUGUUCAGAGUAUCCAUUACUGUCUUUGAGUAACAGAUUACCAGUUUUGAAAAAGUUGAGUAACCGAUUACCCAAAUGGUGUAAUCGAUUACUCUAAUUCGUUUUUAAAAGAACAGUGGACAGAGAGUUUGGGUAAUCGAUUACCUACUAUAAGUAAUCGAUUAUUGAGAGUUGUUGCAUGAGGUUUCAGAUUUCAAAAUAAAAUGUUUUCACUCCAAACGAAAUCUCUUCACUUCAAACAACUCCUACACUUUCAGAAAGGCACCAUGGAUGUUUGGAAAAUCUAUAUAAAGGCUAUAACUCUCACAACACAAACACACAACAAUNNNNNNNNNNNNNNNNNNNNNNNNNNNNNNNNNNNNNNNNNNNNNNNNNNNNNNNNNNNNNNNNNNNNNNNNNNNNNNNNNNNNNNNNNNNNNNNNNNNNUGUAAGGUACAUAGAAAUCUCGGGGUGAGAUAUUGUAAUUACAACUCAUAAUUCUUAGUGAAGAAAUCUCUUGUGAUACAAGAGUAUUGGACGUAGCCUUCGGUGGACAAGAAGGUGAACCAGUAUAAAAUCUUUGUGUACUCUCUUCUCCCUUAUCUCUUUCAUUUUAUCUUGAUUAUUUUUCUGCAUAUGUUUUCCGCUGCACGUUAACUCUUGAUUUUGCAGAAAAAGUGGCCAUAAUUUUUAAGGCAACUAAUUCACCCUCCCUCUUAGUUGCAACCUCGUUCUUACAAUUGGUGCCAAAGCUAUAUUCGAGUAAGAUACUCUCAAGUNCUCAAGUCUGAUCCUACAUCAAGAUGGCCUCAAGAUCAUUCAUAGGAGAAGGUUCCAACAUCAACCGCCCUCCAAGCUUUGUUGGAGAGUGCUAUGAUUUCUGGAAAAUUAGAAUGAGGAUCUUUAUUGCAUCUCAAGACUUAGACAUAUGGAAUGCCAUUGAAGAAGGACUAUAUAUACCCUUUACUGUUAUCAACAGUAUAAGAGAAAUAAAGCCAAAAUCUUCAUGGAACGAUGAAGACAAAAAAAAUGUACAAUAUGAUUUAAAGGCAAAGAACAUCCUCACCUCCACAUUCGGUAUUGAUGAAUUCUUUAGAGUAUCAAAUUGUGAAUCUGCAAAAAAUGUGGGAUACUCUAGAGACCACACACGAAGGAACAUAGGAAGUAAAAAGGUCAAGACUCAACACUCUUUCUCAGGAAUACGAAAUGUUUCGUAUGAAGCCUGGAGAGAAAAUUCUUGAUUUACAAAAGAGGUUUACUCAUCUUACCAAUCACCUUAUUGCACUUGGCAAAGUUCUAUCAAAUAGUGACUUAAACUUGAAAGUUCUAAUAUCACUCACCAGAAUAUGGCAACCAAAGGUAACUGCAAUUUCUAAAAAGAAAAGUUUAUCUAAAAUGUCUUUGGCUGCUUUGUUUGCCAAACUGCAGGAACACGAACUAGAACUUAGUCAACUUGAUCAACACGAGGAGCAAGAAAAGAAGAAGAAAAAUAUUUCUCUAACAGCAAAAGUGGAUAGAUAUGACUCAUUUGGAGAUGAAUCAGAAAAAGAUGAUACGGANNNNNNNNNNNNNNNNNNNNNNNNNNNNNNNNNNNNNNNNNNNNNNNNNNNNNNNNNNNNNNNNNNNNNNNNNNNNNNNNNNNNNNNNNNNNNNNNNNNNAAAGGGUUCUUUCAAAGGAAAGAAUGAUAUAAAGAUUGGACGAAGAGCAUACAUUGCUUGGGAAGAUAAUGAUAUCAGUUCUGCAUCUGAAACAGAAAACAAAGAGCAAGCACAUCUAUCACUUAUGGCAUCUCAUCAUUCUGAUGAUGAAGAGGUAAACGACUCUAAUCUAUUUUCUUCUUCCGAACUUCAAUCUGUAUUUAAUGAUUUACAUGAUGAAUGUGUCAAAUUAACAAAAAUGUUUCUAAAACAAAAGUUUGAAAUAGAUGCAUUUAGAAACAAACCUUCUUCACCCUCUUGUCAAAACUGCGUUACUCUUGAAAAUAAAGUAUCAACAUUAAGUCUUAAACUUAAUAAACUAAAUAAGAGUGGUAAAAGCUUAGAAAAGAUUAUCAAUGAUCAAGCAGACCGAAGAGGUCUUGGCUAUUCAAAAGGCCAUGGUUUCAAAAAACCAAGUGUCCAAAAGAAAAUAAUCUUUUAAAAGAAAAGUAUACAUGCAUUUGAAAAAUCUAGGAUACACAUUCAUCAACUCAUAUGUACAUACUGUAAAAUUCAUGGGCAUACAUCAAACACAUGUAUGAUUAGAAAAUAUGGUGUACCCCUAGGAAAAUUUAAAUGAGUUGAGAAAGGUACUAACCAUCUAGGAUCCAAAGAAUAUUGGAACCUAACAAAACUUAAUUUGUUUUGUAGGAAAAUUUGAGAGCUACCUACAAUUUAUGGUACUUAAAUAGCGGCUGCUCAAAACAUAUGACAGGCGAUAAAAGUAAAUUCUUUGUCCUCACUCCAAGGGACAAAGGAUAUGUCUCAUAUGGUGACAACAACAAGGGAAGAAUUCUUGGAGUUGGUAGAAUUGGAAAGCCCCCAUCAACAACUAUAGAAGGCGUACUAUAUGUUGAAGGACUCAAGGACAACCUUCUAAGCAUAAGUCAAUUAUGCGACAAAGGAUUUCAUGUGGCGUUCUACCCAGAUAAAUGCAUCAUUGAAAGUAAGGAUUCUAAUAAUUCUAAACUUAAAGGUAAGAGAAUAAAUAAUAUAUAUAUGAUUAACAUGGAUUCUGCUUUACCUAUAAUAUGUUUAGUAGCAAAUGAUAAUCAUGAUGCAUGACUUUGGCAUAAAAGAAUUGCCCACAUACAUAUGGAACAUUUGAAUAAACUUCUUAAGAAAGAUUUAGUUGCCGAUUUACCAAAAAUGAAGUUUGUUAAAGACAAACUAUGUAAUGCUUGUCAAAUGGGUAAACAAACAAAAACUUCUUUCAAACCAAAGCACAUGGUUUCUUCCGAUAGACCAUUACAACUACUUCACAUGGAUUUAUUUGGUCCCUCAAGGACAAAAAGUUUUGGUGGAAAUUACUAUGCUCUUGUUAUAGUAGACGAUUUUUCUAGAUAUACCUGGACUCUCUUCUUAGUACAUAAGAAUGAGGCAUUCAAAGCCUUUAGCAUUUAUGCUAAAAGAGUUCAGAAUGAAAAAUCUCUAAAAAUCGCUAUUAUACGAAGUGAUCAUGGGGGAGAAUUUCAAAACUCCUCUUUUGAGGAAUUCUGUGAUGAUCUUGGGAUCAAACCUCAGUUUUUCUACUCCUAGAACACCUCAGCAAAAUGGUGUUGUAGAGAGAAAGAAUCGGUCCUUAGAACAACUGGCUCGAACAAUGUUAAAGGAAACUAACCUCCCAAAAUACUUUUGGAUUGAUGCAGUUAGCACUGUGUGUUAUGUUUCGAAUCGAGUUCUUAUAAGACCUAUUUUUAAGAAAACCCCCUAUGAACUCUUCAAAGGUGGAAAACCUAACAUUUCUCAUCUACAUAUUUUUGGUUGUAAAUGUUUUGUUCUGAACAAUGGUAAGAAUAACUUGGGCAAGUUUGGUGCAAAAGCUUAUGAAGGAAUUUUCCUUGGCUAUUCUCUCACGAGUAAAUCUUAUAGAGUCUUUAAUAAAAGAACUCUAACCAUGGAAGAAUUUGUUCAUGUAACUUUUGAUGAAAUCAAUCAUGUAUUAAAAGAUGUGAUAUCCUGUGAUGAAGACAACUUGCCAAGUUCCCCUACUAAAGAUAAUUCUAUUGGUGAUAUUACAACUGAACUUGAAGAAUUGAGAAUGAAUGAUAAUCUAUCUUCUCAAGAAGAGCAUAUUCACUCAGAUCUACCAAAAAAAUGGAGAACUCAUCGAAAUCAUCCUAUUGACAACAUCAUCAGUGAUAUAAGUAAAGGUAUAACUACUCGUAGAAUGCUUGAUGCUUGUCUAAACAUGGCAUUCGUCUCUUAGAUAGAACCCUCUAAGAUUGAUGAUGCAAUCGAGGAUGAACACUGGAUUCUUGUUAUGCAAGAAGAAUUAAACCAGUUUGAGAGAAAUGAAGUUUGAGAACUUGUUCCUAGACCGAAAAAUAGGCAUGUCAUUGGAACUCGUUGGGUCUUUAGAAAUAAAUCUNNNNNNNNNNNNNNNNNNNNNNNNNNNNNNNNNNNNNNNNNNNNNNNNNNNNNNNNNNNNNNNNNNNNNNNNNNNNNNNNNNNNNNNNNNNNNNNNNNNNAUUUGCUGAAAAGAUUUGAUAUGGAUGACUGCAAACCAAUAUCUACUCCUAUGGGAUCUAACACAUACAUUGAUACCGAUGAAAGUGAAAAAAAUAUUGAAAUAUCAAAGUAUCGAGAUAUGAUCGGAUCUCUUUAAUAUUUGACUGCCAGUAGACCUGAUAUUAUGUUUAGUGUAUGUCUGUGUGCACGUUAUCAGUCUAAACCAAAAGAAUCACACUUAGUUGUUGUUAAGAGAAUUAUGAAAUAUCUUAAAGGUACAACUAAAAUUACUCUGGUAUCCAAAAGGAAGUAUAUGUGAAUUGGUUGGAUAUUCAGAUUCAGAUUUUGUCGGAUGUAAAUCUGAAAGGAAAAGUACAAUUGGUACUUGUCACAUUUUAGGCAAUGCUUUAGUCUCUUGGUCUUGCAAGAAACAAGCAUGUGUUGCGCUAAGCACUGCUGAGGCUGAAUAUAUAGCAGCAGGCAGUUGUGGUGCCCAAGUGUUGUGGCUUAAGCAACAAUUACGAGAUUAUGUCUUAGACUUAGGCUGCACUCUGCUGAAAUAUGAUAAUACUAGUGCUAUAAACCUUACAAAGAAUCAUAUUAUGUAUUCUAAAACCAAACACAUAGAUAUAAGACAUCACUUCCUAAGGGAUCAUGUUCAAAAGAAAGAUGUAUCCGUAGAAUUUGUUGAUACUCAUAACCAACUUGCAGACAUUUUCACUAAACCAUUGGCAAAAAAACAUUUUUACAAAAUUAGACUUGAAUUAGGCAUUCUUGAUGAAGCUUACCUGUCUUAACAUGCUUAUAUGAUUAUAUGUUUGCUUCAUUAUGUUUAUCUCAUGCCUACUUGAUCUUAAAUAUAUUUAUUUGUGUUCAAAAACUUCAAUUUUUGGGGUUAAAAAUCAUUUUCAUAGCUUAAUUUUGCCUAAAAAUAAGCUUUUAUGAGGUCAGUAAUCGAUUACAGUGGUAAGUAACCGCUUACAGGGUUGAACAACGUGUUUCAGUAACCGAUUACCAAAAGUGAGUAAUCGAUUACACCAAGUUGCUGUCUGAAAAUUUUAAAAAUUUAUUUUUAAGUAACCGAUUACUCAAAAUAAGUAACCGAUUACUCUGUGCUGUUAUAUAUGUAAUUUCUGCAAUUUUUUAACUUUUUCAAACUCAUCUUCCUCACUCAACUCGUGCUCUCUCCUUCUCAAAACCUCUCAACCUCUAAAAACCUUGUUGUUGAUCCGUUUCAAGAGCUUUUUUGUCCAUUCCUUUCACAUUUUUGAUUCCAAACACUUCUAACCAAUCAUUUUCCUGAUUAGUGGCUUAAAUAAAAAACCCCCAAAAUCUUCAAAUACCUAAAAUUUGAAAUCCAAAUUCACGGCUUCUUCUUCUAGAUCAAAGAAACAACGCUCCAAUACCUCUCAAAGGAGUCAAGGAACAACUCUUUGGAGUGUAACCCUCUGGAUUUGAUAAGACUUCUUGUUAAUGAUGAGCAACGCAAGAUAUUUGAGGAGCACUUCCAUGGUCGCACUAGUUUUACUCCUAAAUUCAGUAAUGUUGACAAUUUUGAGUUUGAAGAUUUUCUUUCCCUUAUCUUUUACGUCAACAAAACCUUUUUGACUUCUGUUGUGAAACAAAUGACAUUUAUCUCGAACUGUGCGAGUACUGUAACGUGAACUUUCGGAAAAACCGUCUUACCUCCUAUGUCAAAGGAAAAUACAUUAUUUUAGAUAUAAAAACUUUCAGUUCAUUGUUAUGUAACAUACCCUCUCAAGGUAACAUAACGGGUUUCAGCCAUGUAUGUGAAUGGGAUAAUUAUGAUCGAAAUGAUUUUUAUCAUUCGUUAUGUAGACUUUCAAAAAGGGAAAUAGAAAUGCGUAAGCAACAUGGCUUUGGAGAGACUGUCAAAAACCGAGACAUCCUAUCUACUGGAUAUCUCAAGCUAGAGGACCGUUUGCUUCAUUAUUUUUUGAGCUAUGUCAUCUUACCAAAAUUUUCAAAUCAUUCUCAAAUAAGUGACAGAACUCCAAUUGAUGUAUGCUUUAAAGUUUAACAUCAAGAUCAAUUGGGCUCUAAUGAUAAUGACACAAAUAUGGACUGUUAGAGGUACUCAAAGUUCUUUGCCAUAUGCAAUCUUCAUAACCAAUAUUCUUCAGCAUUUCGGAGUUUCUACGAAUGGUGAAACAAAGAUGCCUCUGAAUCUUCGAGAAAGCCAAAUUGAUGUGGAAGUGAUCAACAAAAUGGGUUUCACCCAAGACCCUCGAACCCGCAUCUACAAACAUAGAGCCGACAAACCGAUUGCUGCUGCUAAACCAUCUGAACCUGAAGCUCCUAACCCUUCUGAACCACAAUCGUCUGAGUUUCAUGCUCAAUCGUCCUCAUCUGCUGUCAUGCCCUCGAACCAAAUGAUUAUGGAUGAAUUGGUUUCUCUCCGUGGCUACAUCACUAACCGGAUGGAUGCUCUCGACUCUCAGAAUCAACAAAUACAAUAUGAACUUCACUGCCUCUCCUCUAGGAUGGAUAUCAUGGAUAUUCAUGAAGACAAUUCGGAGCCUGAGUCUUAGAAUAUCUGUUGUUAGGAUUUUCUGGUUGUAUUAUUUUCCAAUCUCAGACAAAAUUUUCUACUUAUUUGUUGUUUUUAAGUUAUUGCUGCAUAUUCUUGGACAAGAUACUUUAUGAUGUUUUAUGUUUUAUUGUUCCAUUCCUGGAUAUUUACAUCUUAUUUAUGCAUCGCAAUACUUGCUUAUCUAUAUCUUAAUCCAUACAUGAAUAUAUACUAUCAUAUUGAUAUAUUUUUUGAUUAUAUAAAGUGUAUGUAUGCUACAUAUAUUGUGCUAGAAUCUCUUUGCUUUUAUACUUUUUGAUGAAGUCAAAUGGGGAAGAAAAGUUGGAGUGUAUUUUCUGUAAAAUUAUUUCAGGCACAUUACUCCGAAAGAAAGGGGGAGCAUACUCAAGUCAAAACUUCAACAUAUCUCAAAGUAUGCUGCUCUUAAGAAAAUUACACUGUCAAGAAGAUUUUGGUUUGUCAUCAUCAAAAAGGGGUAGAUUGUGAAGAAGAUCUUUGCUCUUGACCUUGGCAAGGUUUUGAUGAAGCCACCAAUAUCACCAAAAAGAAGAAAAGGAAGAAUACUUAUGAAGACAAAGAAGAUUAAAGCUUCAAGAAAAUUAGAUUAAGUCUCUAUAUGUACUUCUAUCCUAAAACUCUUAAAUAUACAAAAUAUUAAUGCUCAAACUAUUUUUAAAGAAAAAUGAAACACUUUAAAAAUACUUGAAACACUUUUUCAAAAAUAGUGUUUAACGGGUUACUUCAUCUAAGUAACAAGUUACGUGUGUAAGAAAAAGAGUUAUCCAAUUUAAAACUGUUCAGAGUAAUCCAUUACUGCCUUUGAGUAACAGAUUAACAGUUUUGAAAAAGUUGAGUAACGAAAGUAAUUACUUUUAAAACAUAUUGGGUUUUUUAUGGGUCGGGCAAAAUUGGGUAUUCACACCCAUUAUUAGUAAUCGAUUACUGAGAGCUGUUGCAUAAGAUUUCAGAUUUUAAAAUGAAAUGCUUUCACUCCAAAUGAAAUCUCUUCACUUCAAACAACUCCUACACUUUCAGAAAGGCACCAUGAGUGUUUGGAAAGUCUAUAUAAAUGCUAUAACUCUCACAACACAAACACACAACAAUACAUAACUCUUAUAAAAUUUCCAAAAGCUCUUAAACUUAUUUUGAAGUUAUUUCUCUACACUUUUUGCAACUAGCACUCAAACUUUCAAAAGUUAUUUUUCUGAAGUUGCUUAGAAGUGUUUCAAAGCUUUCUAAAAGAGCAUUAUUAUUUAGUAUACUUAAAGAGUUGAUUGGAUUGCAAGUUAUACUAUUGUCAUACUUGUAAAGGCAAUCUGUCAUUGUUGUACAUUCUUCAAUAUUGUUGCUGAAUACUUUCUUUCACGGAGUGUGAAAAGAAAGGGGAUUAGAAUCACUUGGAAAUGUGUUUUCCAAGAGUGAAUAAGAAUUAGGGAGUGUGUAAGGUACAUAGAAAUCUCGGGGUAAGAUAUUGUAAUAACAACUCAUAAUUCUUAGUGAAGAAAUCUCUUGUGAUACAAGAGUACUGGACAUAGCCUUCGGUGAACAAGAAUGUGAACCAGUAUAAAAUCCUUGUGUACUCUCUUCUCCCUUAUCUCUUUCAUUUGAUCUUGAUUAUUUUUCUGCAUAUAUUUUCCGCUGCAUGUUAACUCUUGAUUUUGCUGAAAAAGUGGCCAUAAUAUUUAAGUCAACUAAUUCACCCCCUUCUUAGUUGCAACCUCGUUCUUACAAAAAAUUGGUUACAUGUGAGAGGGAAAGGGUUUGUAUGAAUCAGAGAUGGUAAAAAUGGCAAACAUGAAGAAAAAAACUUAUUAGUUGUUACUUGAUACCAUGAAGUACAAACAUGACCAUCAAAUCAAUAUUAUAUAUUAAAAAUAGAGCUUAUUAGUUGUUAGUAAAACAAAUUUGCCAUUUUAAAUCCACCAACAAGGGAUUUGUAACUUUCUCUCAAGUGCAGUUUCUUUUCAACUUGAACAGAUUAACCAUAACAGAAAAACCAGAAUAGAUUAAACCUGCCAUCAAGAUAGAAAAUUAACCAGCAUUAUUUCUAGAACAGUGGUUUAUUUUAUUCAAGAACAGAUUAACCAGUGUGUUCUGUUGGUUUUUUCUGGAAGAGAUUAUGCAGCGUUUUUUUUUGGUUUAAUAUGUUCUGUUCUGGUUUCAAAACAAAUAAUUAAACCAUGAGACAGCAGUACAGUAGACUGGACACAUCUAAGUACAAAUUUUGCAAUGCAUAAAGAAUCUAUAUGAUAAGAAGGAAGACUUAGCAGGGAAAAAAAGAUUAUAGCUGCUUCCAAAAGAGAUUAAAGGCCAAAAAUUGAAUAUCCAAAAGCAUUCACUUCAGCUUUCAAAAGCUGUUUUUUCUUUUCUAUUUUACUCUGUUUUUUAUGUGUUGUGUGGUGAAAACAGUGUCUAGGUAACAUAUUAAAGCAAAUAGAGCUACCAAAUAUAGAUAUAUAAGAUAAGUUAAACUUUUGAAACAAUGAUAUAUAUUCAAGCAAAUGGUGAACUUUAAUCAACUUAUUAUAAUAAUCAAAUUACAUCAACUUAGGAUGCAUCUCUCAACCUAAUUGGAUGUAUGAGUUUUGUUACCAUUUCUUUUUCUUUUGAGCAUUAUCGGUACCUACUGUGCAGAAGAUCUUUGCUCCUGACCUUGGCAUGGUUUUGAUGAAGACACUAAAAUCACCAAAAAGAAGAAAAGGAAGAAUACUCAUAAAGACAAUUAAGAUUCAAGUUUCAAGAUAUUCAAGACUUGUAGUGUAAGUCUAAAAUAGGUACGGGUACUUCUAUCAUAUACUCUUGAUUAUACAAUAGUAGUAAUGUUCAAACUAUUUUUAUAAGAAAAUUGAAACUCUUUAAAAUACUUAAAACAAUUUUCAAAAAUAGUGUGUAACGGUUACUGCAUCUAAGUAACAGGUUACACGUGUGAGAAAAGAGUUAUCCAACUUAAAACUGACCAGAGUAAUCCAUUACUGUCUUUGAGUAACAAAUUACCAGUGUUAUCUGAUUACUCAACUUGUUGUAAUCGAUUACUCUAAUUCGAAAAUAAAUGAUUAGUGGACUGAACAUUUGAGUAAUCGAUUACUCAAUGCUGUAAUCAAUUACUGAGAGUUGUUGCAUCAUAUUUUCAAAUUCAAAGUGAAUGAGUUUCAACCCAAAAGACAUAUUUUCAUUCCAAUCAAUUCCUAUCCUUUCAAAGAGACAUUUUGGCUGAUUGGAAAGCCUAUAUAAAGGCAUUGAAACUCACAAUCACAACACACAACAUAUACACAACUCUCAUACAAAUUUCAAAAGCUCUUACACAUAUUCUGAAAUUAUUCUCUACACUUUUAGCAACAAGUUCUUAAACUUUCAAAGUUAAUUUUUCUGAAGUUGCAUAAAGUGAAAGUGUUUCAAGUUUACAAACAUAUAAAGAACAUUAUUACUAAGUAUACAAAAGAGUUGAUUGGAUUGCAAGUUACAUCACUUUCAUACUUGUAAAGGCAAUUCCGUCAUUGUUGAACAUUCUUUAUUAUUAUUGCAGAAUACUUUCUUUCACGGGAUGUAAUAAGAAAGGGGAUUAGAAUUACUUGGAUAUGUGUUUUCCAAAAGUGAAUAAGGAUUAAGGAGUGUGUAAGGUACAUAGAGAUCUCGGGGUGAUAUAUUAUAAUUGCAACUCAUAAUCUUUAGUGGAAAAAUCUCUUGUGCUGCAAGAGUACCGAACGUAGCCUUUGGUAGACAAGAAGGUGAACCAAUAUAAAAAUCAUUGUGUAUUCUCUUCUCCCUUAUCUCUUUGAUUUUACUUAUUAGUUUUCUCCAUAUAUUUUCCGCUGCACUUUAACUCUUGAUUUUGCAGAAAAAGUAACCAUUAUUUUAAGAUUGAUGAAGCAUGUCUAAACAUGACAUUCAUCUCUCAAAUAGAGCCCUCCAAGAUUGAUGAAGCAAUCGAGGAUGAAAACUGGAUUCUUACUAUGCAAGAAGAAUUAAACCAGUUUGAGAGAAAUGAAGUUUGGGAACUUGUUCCUAGACCGAAAAACAGGUAUGUUAUUGGAACUCAGUGGGUAUUUCGAAAUAAAUCUGAUGAAAAUGGUAUUAUAGUUAGAAAUAAAGCUAGACUAGUAGCCUAAGGAUACAAUCAGGAAGAAUGUAUAGACUUUGAUGAAACCUUCGCUCCGGUUGCUAGACUUGAAACUAUUAAGCUACUACUUGCAUAUGUCUGUUCAUUGAAUUUUCUGUUAUAUCAAAUGGACGUAAAGAGUGCUUUCCUCAACGACUAUAUUUAAGAAGAAGUGUUUGUUGAACAACCUUCUGGUUUUGAAGAUUACAAACAUCCUUCUUAUGUGUACAAAUUAAAGAAAGCCCUCUAUGGCUUAAAACAAACUCCUCGUGCAUGGUAUGAUCGUCUAACUAAAUUUCUACUUGAAAAAAGGUUUCAACAAAGGAAAGGUCGAUAUUAUACUCUUUAUAUAAAGAAUAAAUCAUCAUAAUCUACUUGUUCAAAUUUACGUAGAUGAUAUUAUUUUUUGUUCUACAAAUGAGGUUUUGUGUAGUGAAUUUAGCCAAAUGAUACAUGGAGAGUUUGAAAUGUCCAUGAUGGGGAAGUUAAAUUACUUCCUUGGAAUUCAAAUCAAACAACUUGAUAAUGGAAUUUUCGUAAGUUAAUCCAAGUAUUACAGAGACUUGCUAAAAAGAUUUGACAUGGAGGGCUGCAAGCCAAUAGCUAUUCCUAUGGUAUCCGGUAAUUUCAUUGAUACAAAUCAAGUAAGAAAAAGCAUUGAAAUAUCAAAGUAUCGAGGUAUGAUUGGAUCUCUUUUAUAUUUAACUGUCAGUAGACCUGAUAUCAUGUUUAGUGUAUGUCUGUGUGCACGCUAUAAAUCUAAACCAAAAGAAUCACACUUAGUUGUCGUUAAGAGAAUCAUGAAAUAUCUUACGGGUACAUCUAACGUUGGGAUGUGGUAUCCAAAAGGAAGUAUAUAUGAUCUGGUUGGUUAUUCGAAUUCAGAUUUUGCUGGGUGCAAAUCUGAAAGGAAAAGUACAAGUGAUACUUGUCAUAUUUUGGGAAAUGCUUUAGUCUCUUGGUCUUGCAAGAAACAAGCAUGUGUUCUCCUAAGCACUGCUGAAGCUGAAUAUAUAGCAACAGAUAGUUGUAGUGCCUAAGUGUUGUGGCUCAAACAACAAUUACGAGGUUAUGGCUUAGACUUGGGGUGCAUUCCUUUAAAAUGUGACAAUACAAGUGCUAUAAACCUCACAAAGAAUCUUGUUAUGCAUUCUAAAACCAAACACAUUGAUAUAAGACAUCACUUCCUUAGGAACCAUGUCCAACAGAAGGAUGUGUCUGUAAAAUUUGUUGAUACUCACAACCAACUAGCAGAUAUAUUCACUAAAUCAUUGGCAAAAUAACCUUUUUACAAAAUUAGACGAGAAUUAGGCACUCUUGAUGAAGCAUACUUAUCUUAAAUGCUUAUAUAUGAUUAUAUGUGUGCUUCAUUAUAUCUAUUUCAUGCCUACUUGAACUUAAAUAUGUUUAUUUAUGUUUAAAAAUUUCAAUUUUUGGGUUAAAAAUCAUUUUCAUAGCUUAAUUUUGCCUAAAAAUAAGUUUUUCUAGGGUUAGUAAUCGAUUAUACUGGAGAGUAACCGAUUACAGGGUUGAACAGCGUGUUUCACUAACCGAUUACUCUAUGUUGCUGUUUGAAAAAUUUUUAAUUUUUAAUUUGAGUAACCGAUUACUCUUUGCUGUUGUAUAUGUAUUUUUUCUGCAUUUUUAAAACUUUUUCAAACUCAUCUUCUUCCUCAUUUUAAACCUUCAUCGUGGCCACCUCUCUCUCUCUAAAAUCUUCGCUUUUGGUCCGUUUUGAGUGAUUUUUGUGUGCUUUCAUAUCAUAUUUUCACUUCUAAACACUUCUAAACCAUCAUUUUCGUGUUUAGUGGCCUAAAUCAAAACUCACAAAUCUCCAAAACCCAAAAACCUAACUUUUCAAAAACUCAUUUCAAUGGCUUCCUCAUCUAGAACCAAGAAGCAACGCACCAAUCUCACUCAAAGGAACCAAGGAACUUCAUCUUUGAAGUCCAACCCUCUUAACUUAAUGCGACUUCUAGCAAAUGAUGAGCAACGUAAAAUCUUUGAGGAGCACUUCCAUAGUCGCAUUAUCUUCACUAUGAAAUACGGUAAUCUUGGGAACUUUGAGUUAGAAGAUUUUUUAUUUCCUUAUCUCUUAAGACAACAAAACCUUUUCGUUUUCUAUUGUGAAUCAAAUGAAAUAUAUCCUGAACUGAUAAGAGUAUUUUACUGUAACAUGAACUUUAGGAAAAACCGUCUUACUUCAAAUGUAAAAGGAAAAGACAUUACUUUGGAUUUGAAAACCAUGAGUUCAUUGUGCUUGAACAUACCCUAUCAGGGGAGCAUGGUAGGUUUCGGCCUUGUAUGCGAAUGGGAAAAUUAUGAUCGAAAAUAUUUUAAUUAUUCUCUGUGUAGAAUAACCAAAGAGGAAAUAGAAACGCUUAAGCAACAUUGCUAUGGCAAAACUGUUAAAAAUAGAGACAUAGAUGUCCACCAAUUAGAUUUCUAUGUCACUUAUUUAAUGUGAAAAUCAAUUGGACUCUGAUGAUAAUUAGACAAAUGUGAUCUGUAAGAGGAACACAAAGCCCUUUGCCAUAUGCAAUCUUCAUAACCAAAAUCCUGGAGCAUUUUGGUGUUUCUACUGCUGGAGAAACUAGGGUCCCGCUUAACCCUCGUGAAAGGCAUAUUGAUGUGGAUGUAAUCCACAAAAUGGGUUACACAUUUGAUCUUCAUGACCGGACCUACAAGCAUAAGAAAGAUAGACCUCAUGCUCCUAAACCAAAACCUACCUCUGCUAAUCCUUUUGAACCUCAACCUUCUGAGUUUUAUGCUCAAUCUUCCUCAUCUGCUGUCAUACCUUCAAAUCAAAUGACUAUGGAUGAGUUGAUUUCUCUUCGAGGCUACAUCACUAACUGGAUGGAUGCCUUUGAUACUCAGAAUCAACAAAUCUGAUUUGAACUUUAUCAUCUCUCUUCUAAGCUGAGUAGCAUGGACGUUGAUGAAGACAGUUCUGAGCCUAAAUCUUAGACUUUAUCUAUUGUUAGGAUUUUCUGGUUGUAAUGUUAAUUUCUCAUGGUCUCGGACAAAUUUCUAUUAUGUUGUUUGUAUUGUUGUUUGCAUUGUUAAUGCUUGAACAUCUUUUUACUUUUAUGAUAUUGCUCAAAUUUUAUUAUUUCUUGAUAUCCAUAUUAUUAUAUGUUAUAUAUAUCCUAUUGCAUGUAUGUUAUAUAUAUUGUGCUGGAUUCUAGGCUUUUCUACUUUUUGAAGAAGUCAAAAGGGAGAGAAAAGUUGGGAGAGUAUAUUUUCUGUUUAAAACAUUUCAGGCACAUAGUAUGCUGCUCUCAAAAAGUUUGCUGCUCUUAGAAAAUUAUAUUAUUAAGAUAUUGGUUUGUCAUCAUCAAAAACUGAGAGAUUGUGAAGAUCUUUGCUCUUGACCUUGGUACGAUUUUGAUGAAGAUACCAACAUCACCAAAAAGAAGAAAAUAAAGAAUACUUAUAAAGACAAUGAAGAUUCAAGCUUCAAGAUAUUCAAGACUUUUAGUCUAAGUCUAAAAUAGGUAAUUCUAUCCUAUACUCUUGAUUAAUAGUAGUAAUGCUCAAACUAUUUUUAAAAGAAAAUUGAAACACUUUAAAAUACUUAAAACAAUUUUCAAAAAUAGUGUGUAAUGGGUUACUUCAUCUAAGUAACAUGUUACGAGUGUGAGAAAAGAGUUAUCCAACUUAAAACUGAUCAUAGUAAUCAAUUACUGUCUUUGAGUAACAGAUUACCAUUGUUAUUAAAGUAGAGUAGCCGAUUACUCAACUUGUUAUAAUCGAUUACUCUAAUUCGAAAAUAAAUGAUCAGUGGACAGAACAUUUGAGUAAUCGAUUACUCAAUACUGUAAUCGAUUACUAAGAGCUGUUGUAUCAGAUUUUCAAAUUCAAAGUGAACGAGUUUCAACCCAAAAGACAUUUUUUCCUUCCAAUCAAUUCCUACGCUUUCAAAGAGACAAUUUGACUGAUUGGAAAGCCUAUAUAAUGGCAUUGAAACUAACAAUCACAACACACAACAUAUAUGCAACUCUCAUACAAAUUUCAAAAGCUUUUACGCAUAUUCUAAAAUUAUUCUCUGCACUUUUGGCAACAAGUUCUUAAACUUUCAAAGUUGAUUUUUCUGAAGUUGCUUAAAGGGAAAAUGUUUCAAGUUUACAAACUUAUAAAGAGCAUUAUUACUAAGUAUACAAAAGAGUUGAUUGGACUGUGUCGCGCCCCGAUUUUCGGCUACGUGACCUCUUAGAGUCGCCACUACAUUUUAUGGUUAAAAAUGUUGAAAAAUAUUCAAAGCUCAAUCACAUUGGGCUUUUGGAUAUUUGAUAUCCAGGUUCGGGAGUCGAUUAUGAAUUGGGGAAGGUAUUAGCACCCCGUUCGCCUGUAAUAAAACGGUACUCUGACUAAUUGCAUUAAUUGAAUACCCUUAAUUUAUUUAAAUUAAAUUACUUAAACAAAAUAUUUAAUUUUUAUUUUUAUUUGUGUCUGACAAGUUCAUAUUGCUCCUACGUAACCCGGGUGCAAUAGGGAAAUCAAGACUACAUAAUUAUAGUUUAAAAGUUGGUAACUUGGUUGGAAAAAAAGUUAGAAAUUGUUUGAAUUUAAUCGAAGUUAAAUUAAUAAACGAAGAGUCAACAUUGACUACUUACCCUCUUCUCACUUCGAUAGAUAGCAGAAGCAGUACAAAUGACGCGACCGGUUCUCAACUCGAAGCGAAAAUAAAAAUGCAAUAUGAGUUGUAACCUCGUUAUUGAAUCACAAAAUAAUUAAAACGUUUAUUAUUACUGUUUUUGAACAAAAAGCUUAGAAAUUUGUUUGGAUUUAAUUGAAGUGAAAUUAAUAGACGAAGAGUCAACAUUGAUUGCUUACCCCUUUCUCACUUCAAUAAAUAGCAGAAACAGUACAAGUGACCACGACUGGUUCUCAACUCCAAGUGAAGAGAAAGAUACGAUACGAGUUGUAAUCUCGCUAUCAAAUUCUCAUUAUAACAUUUAUUUGUUAUUAAGGAAAUAUUUAUUGAUUAUUACUUAAUGGACAAUUUUUUUACUAAUACAGACACAAUUAUAUAAAUAUUAUUUUUUAUUAUAAAAUAAUUUUUAUUAUAAAAGGCCAAUAGUGAGAUUAAAUUAUCAUAUAAAAGGUAUUCAUUACCUAUUUUUAUUAUACAUAUUGAAUCAUUAGGAGUGCUGCCUGCUAUUAGGAUUUCUGUGAUUUUCACAUCUAUUGUUUCUCUUGAGUGCCAUAAUUCACAACUAAAUCAUACAUCUCUGCAUAUUAUUACUAUAACUAAUUUUGAACAUAUAAGGUUGCAAAGAAAAAGGGUAAUAUAGUUUCCAAAAGAUUGUUUAUUAUUUUUUUACUUAAAAUAUGCUAAAAUAUAUAACCGGAACACGCUAUGUUCCUUGGUUUCAUCCUGGGAGAAUUUAUGAUAAUGCAAGUCAUUGAAAAGAAAAAGUAAGUCAUUAUUAGAGUAGUUAUAGAAUAAUAUUGUUGAGAACUUGAGAUUGGAGUAUUAUAUUAUGAUUAUGCACAUAUAUGUAUUCAAAAGCUUGGUCGUAAGAGAGAAGGAUGAACCAUAUACCUAGACGUGGAGCAUGUGUAGAAGGCUGGAAUUCCUGGGAGAAAAACAAAGUUCUCACGGUUGUGCUGACGUGUUGAUUUCUGUGUUGGCCUGUUGAAUUUGACUGGUCUCUAGACGUUAUCAACAAGGCAGUGAAUUGAGAUGAAGGAUUUGGUCUUAGAUGACCAUUGAUAUACCUUCAACCUUAUGGCACUUUACCAAUGGAUGUAUUAGCUUUACAAGAAGCCACCCCUCUUUCACAUGUUCAUUCUUGUGAAGCUUGUUGAGUCUGAUUGGUGAUUUUAUCCAUUUUCAAGAAGCACCAUUCUUGGUUAUUUUGAAGUUUCAAUAUUUUUCCAGUUUUUGAUAACUGAUGAGUUAAAUAAAAUGAGAGAGAAAUAGAGUAGUGGGGUUCAACGUUGGAGAGGAGAAAAAAAAAACCCCAAGUGAAGAUGUGAGAGUGGGGUAUUAUCUUUUCUUGGUUUGUUGAGAAUUUUGACGGGAUGAUAGUGGAUGGGAGAUUUGGGAUGUUUUUAUGGAUGAUACUUCAGGAUGGAAGAUUUCGUGUUUGAGAUGGAGGGUGAAGAAAGGUUUUGGAG